UGGGGAAUUGUUCGCAAUGGGCGCAAGCCUGACGACGCAACGCCGCGUGGAGGAUGAAGACCUUCGGGUCGUAAACUCCUUUCGAUCGAGACGAAUUCCCCUGGGGUGAACAUCCCCGGGGGUCGACGGUACCGAGAGAAGAAGCCCCGGCUAACUCCGUGCCAGCAGCCGCGGUAAUACGGGGGGGGCAAGCGUUGUUCGGAAUUACUGGGCGUAAAGGGCUCGUAGGCGGCCAACUAAGUCAGACGUGAAAUCCCUCGGCUUAACCGGGGAACUGCGUCUGAUACUGGAUGGCUUGAGGGUAGGAGAGGGAUGCGGAAUUCCAGGUGUAGCGGUGAAAUGCGUAGAUAUCUGGAGGAACACCGGUGGCGAAGGCGGCAUCCAGGACUACUACUGACGCUGAGGAGCGAAAGCCAGGGGAGCAAACGGGAUUAGAUACCCCGGUAGUCCUGGCCCUAAACGAUGAAUGCUUGGUGUGACGGGUAUCGAUCCCUGUCGUGCCGAAGCUAACGCAUUAAGCAUUCCGCCUGGGGAGUACGGUCGCAAGGCUG
rnacentral:rRNA from 1 species